rnacentral:lncRNA from 1 species
AUGGCGAAAUCAACGAAGAAAACGAAAUAUUACACACAUGAAGAAGCCCUCGCUUUGAUUUUGGCUUCAUCCGAGGACAGCGAAGACAGCCAAUAUGAUUCUGAGAUAGAGGAGAUGUUCAAGCAACAAUUGGACGAAGUCUUAGAUCGGUCAAUGUCUGAGGACAGUGAUGCGGAUUGGGAGCCGCAAAGCCAGACAGGCAGACCCCCGGCCCCCACUCCUACUGAAGGUGGUCGUGAGAGAUCCGGUAGUGUCUCAUCACAUGACAAUAUCUCAAUAUGGCCAUAUCAAAUGAAUGUGUGAAAAAAUUAUGUUUUGAAUCAUGGAGAAAGGUUUUAUAGUCACCAAAAUGCUUCAGUAAUGUUUCCAGUGUCACAGAAGUGAGUAAAUGCAUUUGGCACAAUUUGGCCAUUUUGGAGACAUUUUGGAGAGGUUUGGGCCGCCAGUGACCACACACCAUAAAAACUCCAUUAACUCCCAAAGCUUUAGGCCUAGAACUCCAAAUUUUUUUCCAGGUGUAGUUGGCAUGAUGUAGAAGGUAUUUGGCAUAUUGCCAUAUGCCUUACAUAAAGCACAUCCUAGUUAUUGUAGUUCAAAUAUGACCCAUUAUUUUCGAAGACAAAAAAAUUGCUUUAGAGCCAUGUCUGAACUGAUGUCAUUUAGGUUGUGUGUAUGACACAUGCCAAAUAAACAUAUCUACAGAAACUAGAGCUUGUCAGCUUUCAAAUGAAGUAUCAUACAUCCAUCUAGGACUUAGGGUUACUGUGUUAUAAGCUUUUCCAUUUGGGUAUGUGUUUAGGCGAAAAAAACCAAAAUACUGCCGGACCUUAACAGGUUAACCCAAAAAUUAUAUUCGGGGCUAAUUAAACACAUGGUCUGUGAUUAGGAUGUCUGGGUUCAGGGUCUGCGUUCAGGGCCUAAUCGACCAGGUUGACACGCGUCCUGCCGUCCUCCGAGCUCCAGGAAACCAAGUUCCAGGUGGUUAAUAUCUAGCUCAGACGUCGUUCACUCAAUACAUUCAUGAUCCAAAAUCUGACCGCAGCUGACCUCAGAUCUGGUGAACUGGGCUUUUAUUUCUUUCACUUCAUUUGUUUCGACCAAUCCCCAGCAUAUUGAAUCCUGCAGGAGAAAGAGUUAUUUGCAGACAACCUAGACCAGCACAUGAACAUUUUAAAAUGUAAAUACACAGACAUUCCUGUAUAAUUAAGGUGUAUGACAGCUCCCUUUGCUGGGCAACAGUCUCACACCAAACUACAUUUUCCGUUUGAACCAACGUAGCUAUAGUACAUUGAUGUGAGAAGGGUCCGUGGAUUGAACGUGUUGUAGCAAAGAAUGGCCUGCGGGACAGUUUGUACAUUGUUAAAUACAUGAAUGGUCUUGAAUUUAGUAGUAAUAUGGAGGUUUCAUAUUUUUACAAAAUGGAUUAUGUGAGCAUUGCUGAAUAACAAUCAUGUAUAUUAAAUGUAUCGCUUGAGUGUAGCCAAGUUAAAGGACAAUUAAAUGAACCGUACCAAACAUGUAAAAGUCAAUGUGGGAUUUUAAUAUGAAAAAAAACACUUGACAGAAGUUUAAUACAAUUUUGUAAAGGAAAGCAGAGGAAAACAUUUUCCCAAAUGAAUCUUUUCAAAAUGUCACCACCAUUCCGAAAGCAAGUGAAGAGGUUUGUGUAAAAGCAGUCCUCCCUGACCAGCUCUGUCCCUGACUCUAAACCCUGACUCUCAACCCUAACGCUAAACCCUCUGAGGCCAUGCAGGAAGACGCGCCUUCAGUGUAAAGGUUUGAACCACAGAGAAGGAAGAAAAGAGGAAGCAGUAGAGAGUAGUGAAGUAGUGAGGUUAGUGACAGACUUGAGGGAAAGGCGUGUGGAAGCACACGGUUACAUGUGGGGUCAAGAAGAAGACUCCCACUGGAGGUCAUUGAUCCAUCAGCCUCAGACUGCUGAGCUCAGCAGGUUUUCUGGAGGACGAGGCUCAGAUGAACUGAGGAGACGGGACCAGCAGGAUGUCAGGAUCAGGGCGGGUUCAGCUCAGGUGUGUCUGCCCCUGACCAAACAAGGACAAUUUUUAGGUUCAAUAUUCAACAUUAUCUGAACCAAAGAAACAUCAUUAAGGACCAGGCAGGCUUUAGGGCGCCUUGCUCAAGGACGCAUCACUGUAUUCUGAGGACUUGAACCCGGCAGCAUUGGUUUGAGAGUUGAACCCCCAGCCCCCUACCUGGUCCACUAUGUCCAGAUAAUGCAAACUUAUGAGGAAUCCUUGAUGGUAGAGUCCUGGUGGUCCUCAGGAUUUGCCAUCCAGAUGUACGGCUUCUCCAUCAGUCCUCCAGAUUCCUGGUCUGGUUACAAACGUAAUUUGUCCCUAAUGUAAGGUAACAAACAAAGUAGUAUUUUGUCUCUAAUGUAAGGUAACAAACACAGGAGUAGUUGGGCUCUAAUAU